UGUGCUGACAAACGAACAGGCGUUUUAAGGAUACGUUCGUUGGGUAGGGGAGCGUUCUGUAAGCCGUUGAAGGUGGCCUGUGAGGGCUGCUGGAGGUAUCAGAAGUGCGAAUGCUGACAUAAGUAACGAUAAUGCGGGUGAAAAACCCGCACGCCGGAAGACCAAGGGUUCCUGUCCAACGUUAAUCGGGGCAGGGUGAGUCGACCCCUAAGGCGAGGCUGAAAAGCGUAGUCGAUGGGAAACAGGUUAAUAUUCCUGUACUUGGUGUUACUGCGAAGGGGGGACGGAGAAGGCUAGGCUAGCCGGGCGACGGUUGUCCCGGUUUAAGCAUGUAGGCGGAGUGACCAGGUAAAUCCGGUUGCUUAUCAACGCUGAGGUGUGAUGACGAUGCACUACGGUGCAGAAGUAGUUGAUGCCAUGCUUCCAGGAAAAGCCUCUAAGCAUCAGGUAACAUGAAAUCGUACCCCAAACCGACACAGGUGGUCAGGUAGAGAAUACUCAGGCGCUUGAGAGAACUCGGGUGAAGGAACUAGGCAAAAUGGUGCCGUAACUUCGGGAGAAGGCACGCUGGCAUUAGGUAAAGGGACUUGCUCCCGGCGCCGAAGCCAGUCGCAGAUACCAGCUGGCUGCAACUGUUUAAUAAAAACACAGCACUGUGCAAACACGAAAGUGGACGUAUACGGUGUGACGCCUGCCCGGUGCUGGAAGGUUAAUUGAUGGGGUCAGCCGCAAGGCGAAGCUCUUGAUCGAAGCCCCAGUAAACGGCGGCCGUAACUAUAACGGUCCUAAGGUAGCGAAAUUCCUUGUCGGGUAAGUUCCGACCUGCACGAAUGGCGUAAUGAUGGCCAGGCUGUCUCCACCCGAGACUCAGUGAAAUUGAACUCGCUGUGAAGAUGCAGUGUACCCGCGGCAAGACGGAAAGACCCCGUGAACCUUUACUAUAGCUUGACACUGAACAUUGAGCCUUGAUGUGUAGGAUAGGUGGGAGGCAUAGAAGUGUGGACGCCAGUCUGCAUGGAGCCAACCUUGAAAUACCACCCUUUAAUGUUUGAUGUUCUAACUCGGCCCCGUAAUCCGGGGUGAGGACAGUGUCUGGUGGGUAGUUUGACUGGGGCGGUCUCCUCCCAAAGAGUAACGGAGGAGCACGAAGGUUAGCUAAUCACGGUCGGACAUCGUGAGGUUAGUGCAAAGGCAUAAGCUAGCUUGACUGCGAGAGUGACGGCUCGAGCAGGUACGAAAGUAGGUCUUAGUGAUCCGGUGGUUCUGAAUGGAAGGGCCAUCGCUCAACGGAUAAAAGGUACUCCGGGGAUAACAGGCUGAUACCGCCCAAGAGUUCAUAUCGACGGCGGUGUUUGGCACCUCGAUGUCGGCUCAUCACAUCCUGGGGCUGAAGUAGGUCCCAAGGGUAUGGCUGUUCGCCAUUUAAAGUGGUACGCGAGCUGGGUUUAGAACGUCGUGAGACAGUUCGGUCCCUAUCUGCCGUGGGCGUUGGAAGAUUGAGAGGGGCUGCUCCUAGUACGAGAGGACCGGAGUGGACGAAUCACUGGUGUUCGGGUUGUCAUGCCAAUGGCAUUGCCCGGUAGCUAAAUUCGGAAGAGAUAACCGCUGAAAGCAUCUAAGCGGGAAACUUGCCUCGAGAUGAGUCUUCCCUGGGGCUUUAAGCCCCCUGAAGGAACGUUAAAGACGAUGACGUUGAUAGGCUGGGUGUGUAAGUGCAGCGAUGCAUUGAGCUAACCAGUACUAAUGAACCGUGAGGCUUAACCUU
rnacentral:rRNA from 1 species